rnacentral:rRNA from 1 species
UGGGGGAUAUUGCACAAUGGGCGAAAGCCUGAUGCAGCGACGCCGCGUGGGGGAUGAAGGCCUUCGGGUUGUAAACGUCUUUUGCUCUGAACAAGGCGCACCAUGGGGUGUGUUGAGUGUAGGGGUUGAUUAGCGCCGGCUAACUACGUGCCAGCAGCCGCGGUAAUACGUAGGGCGCGAGCGUUGUCCGGGAUUAUUGGGCGUAAAGGGCUUGUAGGUGGCUGGUUGCGUCUGUCGUGAAAGCUCAUGGCUUAACUGUGGGUUUGCGGUGGGUACGGGCUGGCUUGAGUGCAGUAGUGGAGGCUGGGAUUCCUGGUGUAGCGGUGGAAUCCGCGGAUAUCAGGAGGAAUACCGGUGGCGAAGGCGGGUCUCUGGGCUGUUACUGACACUGUAGAGCGAAAGCAUGCGGAGCGAACAGG